CUUUGAGUGUGUAUACCAAGAAAAGAAAAAUAUGAAUUCAUUCUCGAGGUCAGAUUUGGAGCUAAUAAAGUUAUUCUGAUUUCUAUUAUGUUUCUUACCCACCAGCAUUACCCUCUUGCUAUUAUUUACCUGAACAGUUUUAGUGUUUUGGGUGCCUCGUAUCUUACGGAAGUUGUGAAGGAAAAUCAAAGGUCCAAGGAACAUGGAAAAAGCUCUUUCCAUUUAAUGGUGAAAAAUGUGAGGCAUACUCAAGAGCAAGUAUAAAGCAGCCAGCUUAAGGGAAGGGUGAGAAGACAUCUGAGAUGGAAACAGAGACAAAUGACUCUUCCCUUGAGGUAACAUCAGAUACAGGAGAAGCUCCC